UACGAAGGGGGCUAGCGUUGCUCGGAACCACUGGGCGUAAAGGGUGCGUAGGCGGGUCUUUAAGUCAGGGGUGAAAUCCUGGAGCUCAACUCCAGAACUGCCUUUGAUACUGAGGAUCUUGAGUUCGGGAGAGGUGAGUGGAACUGCGAGUGUAGAGGUGAAAUUCGUAGAUAUUCGCAAGAACACCGGUGGCGAAGGCGGCCAACUGGACCAUUACUGACGCUGAGGCGCGAAAGCGUGGGGAGCAAACAGG
rnacentral:rRNA from 1 species